rnacentral:snRNA from 1 species
GGAAUGCUCACUUCCACAGUAAAUUGAAAUGAUACAGAGAUUAGCAUGGCCCCUGCAUGAGGAUGACAGGCAAAUUCAUGAAGAGUUUGGUUUAUUU